AAGUCGUAACAAGGUUUCCGUAGGUGAACCUGCGGAAGGAUCAUUAACACGUAUACACGUUUAACCAACAUUCUGUGAACUAAUCGACCCCUGUGUUUUGUUGUGUUGCUGGCAUGAUGAGUGAUGGGUGUUGAGACACGUAAAAAAUGUCGAUACACGGUCAUGUCGAAAACUUCGAUCUUUUGAUCGUAUUGGCUGGGGCUUCGAGCCCGGUACGCGCUGACACAGGUCUUCACCAUCAUUGGAAAACCUCAUACCCUUUUAACUAUAUAACACAACUUGACUGAUGUACGUAAUGUAAGAGAAAUCUGGCAUUCGUCUUUAUCUAAACUAAGCACAACUCUUAGCAAUGGAUAUCUUGGUUCUC
rnacentral:misc_RNA from 1 species